rnacentral:rRNA from 1 species
CGUACACUCCUGCGGGAGGCAGCAGUGGGGAAUAUUGCACAAUGGGCGCAAGCCUGAUGCAGCCAUGCCGCGUGUAUGAAGAAGGCCUUCGGGUUGUAAAGUACUUUCAGCGGGGAGGAAGGCGAUAAGGUUAAUAACCUUGUCGAUUGACGUUACCCGCAGAAGAAGCACCGGCUAACUCCGUGCCAGCAGCCGCGGUAAUACGGAGGGUGCAAGCGUUAAUCGGAAUUACUGGGCGUAAAGCGCACGCAGGCGGUCUGUCAAGUCGGAUGUGAAAUCCCCGGGCUCAACCUGGGAACUGCAUUCGAAACUGGCAGGCUAGAGUCUUGUAGAGGGGGGUAGAAUUCCAGGUGUAGCGGUGAAAUGCGUAGAGAUCUGGAGGAAUACCGGUGGCGAAGGCGGCCCCCUGGACAAAGACUGACGCUCAGGUGCGAAAGCGUGGGGAGCAAACAGGAUUAGAAACCCCAGUAGUCCCAUGA